CCAAGCGGUAGUGCUGUAGGGAGGUAGUUAAGGAAGGAGGGGUCCCUCAUCGGUGGAUUUCGUGCCUGUAUAAGAAACCAGUGCUUGUUCUCUUCCCACCAAAUGAGGACACGGGGAGAAGACAGUCACCUGUGGGUCAGGAGGAGAGGCCUCAGCAGGAGCCUGAUGUCCUUAGGAACUUUCAGGCUUCCCGACCUGUGAGAAAUAAGCAUUCCUUUUCUAGGAAUGUACUUCUCUUGUACUUCUCUUAUGGCAGCCUUAGUUGAUUAGGACACUGUGGAAAUCUUCCAUGAUUAAAUCAGUUCAAGUGUUUUGUGUCCAGAAUAUGCUGUGGUCCAGGAGUGGAGAUGCUGGCCAGAGAAGCAAAGGUCUCCAAAAUCAACACUUUCUUGGCCUGCAGGACCAUAGCAUUGACUGAACCCAGUGCCUUACUUUGCCAGGAAAGAAGGAGUGACAAUCCCUUUUGACAACAGCAAUGAACAUAUGCAGAUGCUGAUGGGAUGAGGCAUAGGAGGGAAACUAUAGCAUUCACAGACACUGGCGAACUUGAACUAAAGAAAACACAGGUGAUGGACCAAAUGCUCCAGAAAUUUUGCUGGGACAGGCCUAUAUCUGGCUCCUUUGCAUUUUGAGACCAAAGGGAACAUGAAUUUCCAAACCCAUUCUCGGAAUAAUCCUUAGCAGCUACCAUUACUCAUAACUGAUCAAUAACAAAAAUAAUG
ensembl:lncRNA